UGGGGAAUUUUGGACAAUGGGCGCAAGCCUGAUCCAGCCAUGCCGCGUGAGUGAAGAAGGCCUUCGGGUUGUAAAGCUCUUUCGGCAGGAACGAAAUGGUUCGUGCUAAUACCACGGAUCGAUGACGGUACCUGAAGAAGAAGCACCGGCUAACUACGUGCCAGCAGCCGCGGUAAUACGUAGGGUGCAGGCGUUAAUCGGAAUUACUGGGCGUAAAGCGUGCGCAGGCGGUUUCUUAAGUCAGAUGUGAAAGCCCCGGGCUUAACCUGGGAACUGCGUUUGAAACUGGGAGACUUGAGUGUGGCAGAGGGGGGUGGAAUUCCACGUGUAGCAGUGAAAUGCGUAGAUAUGUGGAGGAACACCAAUGGCGAAGGGCAGCCCCCUGGGUCAACACUGACGCUCAUGCACGAAAGCGUGGGGGAGCAAACAGGAUUAGAUACCCUGGUAGUCCACGCCCUAAACGAUAGUCAACUGGUUGUUGGGGGAUUAACUCCCUUAGUAACGAAGACG
rnacentral:rRNA from 1 species